UGGGGAAUAUUGGACAAUGGGCGAAAGCCUGAUCCAGCCAUGCCGCGUGUGUGAAGAAGGUCUUCGGAUUGUAAAGCACUUUAAGUUGGGAGGAAGGGCAUUAACCUAAUACGUUAGUGUUUUGACGUUACCGCCAGAAUAAGCACCGGCUAACUCUGUGCCAGCAGCCGCGGUAAUACAGAGGGUGCAAGCGUUAAUCGGAAUUACUGGGCGUAAAGCGCGCGUAGGUGGUUUGUUAAGUUGGAUGUGAAAUCCCCGGGCUCAACCUGGGAACUGCAUUCAAAACUGACUGACCAGAGUAUGGUAGAGGGUGGUGGAAUUUCCUGUGUAGCGGUGAAAUGCGUAGAUAUAGGAAGGAACACCAGUGGCGAAGGCGACCACCUGGACUAAUACUGACACUGAGGUGCGAAAGCGUGGGGAGCAAACA
rnacentral:rRNA from 1 species